CCUACGGGCGGCAGCAGUGGGGAAUAUUGGACAAUGGGGGGAACCCUGAUCCAGCCAUGCCGCGUGUGUGAAGAAGGCCCUCGGGUUGUAAAGCACUUUCAGUGAGGAAGAACGCCUGGUGGUUAAUACCCAUCAGGAAAGACAUCACUCACAGAAGAAGCACCGGCUAACUCCGUGCCAGCAGCCGCGGUAAUACGGAGGGUGCGAGCGUUAAUCGGAAUUACUGGGCGUAAAGCGCGCGUAGGUGGCUUGAUAAGCCGGUUGUGAAAGCCCCGGGCUCAACCUGGGAACGGCAUCCGGAACUGUCAAGCUAGAGUGCAGGAGAGGAAGGUAGAAUUCCCGGUGUAGCGGCGAAAUGCGUAGAGAUCGGGAGGAAUACCAGUGGCGAAGGCGGCCUUCUGGACUGACACUGACACUGAGGUGCGAAAGCGUGGGUAGCAAACAGGAUUAGAUACCCUUGUAGUC
rnacentral:rRNA from 1 species